CUUUGGGGUGUGGUUCUUGGUGUGAGAAAAAGAGAGCAGAGUCCUCUCUCUUAGGUGUGCGCAAAAACCUAAUUUCUAGGGUUUUAUUCCUAUGGGUUUGGGAAGAGAGAAAAAAUAAAUAAAAAAUUAUUUUUUUCUCUAUCUUUUUUCUACCUCUUAAUCUCCUCCAAAAGUCUUUCUUCAAUCUCUGAAAAAUUUUCAAAAAUUUGAAGAAAUGAUCUAGAUCAGUCAAGGAGAAGAUCUUCAUACGAGCUAGCACUCUCGAGAAGACCG
rnacentral:lncRNA from 1 species